rnacentral:rRNA from 1 species
CAGCGCGGGGAGCUUGCUCCCUGGCGGCGAGUGGCGCACGGGUGAGUAAUACAUCGGAACGUGUCUUCUAGUGGGGGAUAACUGCCCGAAAGGGCAGCUAAUACCGCAUGAGACCUGAGGGUGAAAGCGGGGGAUCGCAAGACCUCGCGCUGGAAGAGCGGCCGAUGUCCGAUUAGCUAGUUGGUGAGGUAAAGGCUCACCAAGGCGACGAUCGGUAGCUGGUCUGAGAGGACGACCAGCCACACUGGGACUGAGACACGGCCCAGACUCCUACGGGAGGCAGCAGUGGGGAAUUUUGGACAAUGGGGGCAACCCUGAUCCAGCCAUGCCGCGUGCAGGAUGAAGGUCUUCGGAUUGUAAACUGCUUUUGUCAGGGACGAAAAGGGAUGCGAUAACACCGCAUUCCGCUGACGGUACCUGAAGAAUAAGCACCGGCUAACUACGUGCCAGCAGCCGCGGUAAUACGUAGGGUGCAAGCGUUAAUCGGAAUUACUGGGCGUAAAGCGUGCGCAGGCGGUUCUGUAAGAUAGAUGUGAAA